rnacentral:rRNA from 1 species
AAAUUGAAGAGUUUGAUCAUGGCUCAGAUUGAACGCUGGCGGCAGGCCUAACACAUGCAAGUCGAGCGGCAGCGGGAAAGUAGCUUGCUACUUUUGCCGGCGAGCGGCGGACGGGUGAGUAAUGCCUGGGGAUCUGCCCAGUCGAGGGGGAUAACUACUGGAAACGGUAGCUAAUACCGCAUA